rnacentral:rRNA from 1 species
GACGAACGCUGGCGGCGUGCUUAACACAUGCAAGUCGAACGAAGAGCGAUGGAAGCUUGCUUCUAUCAAUCUUAGUGGCGAACGGGUGAGUAACGCGUAAUCAACCUGCCCUUCAGAGGGGGACAACAGUUGGAAACGACUGCUAAUACCGCAUACGAUCUAAUCUCGGCAUCGAGGAUAGAUGAAAGGUGGCCUCUACAUGUAAGCUAUCACUGAAGGAGGGGAUUGCGUCUGAUUAGCUAGUUGGAGGGGUAACGGCCCACCAAGGCGAUGAUCAGUAGCCGGUCUGAGAGGAUGAACGGCCACAUUGGGACUGAGACACGGCCCAGACUCCUACGGGAGGCAGCAGUGGGGAAUCUUCCGCAAUGGACGAAAGUCUGACGGAGCAACGCCGCGUGAGCGAUGACGGCCUUCGGGUUGUAAAGCUCUGUUAAUCGGGACGAAAGGCCUUCUUGCGAAUAGUGAGAAGGAUUGACGGUACCGGAAUAGAAAGCCACG